rnacentral:rRNA from 1 species
GAUGAACGCUAGCGACAGGCCUAACACAUGCAAGUCGAGGGGCAGCACAUGAGUAGCAAUACGAUGGUGGCGACCGGCGCACGGGUGAGUAACACGUAUGCAACCUGCCUUCUACUAUGGGAUAACCCGUUGAAAAACGGACUAAUACCGUAUAAUACAGGGGCUCCGCAUGGAGAUAUUUGUUAAAGAUUAAUUGGUAGAAGAUGGGCAUGCGUAUGAUUAGAUAGUUGGUGAGGUAACGGCUCACCAAGUCAACGAUCAUUAGGGGUUCUGAGAGGAAGGUCCCCCACACUGGUACUGAGACACGGACCAGACUCCUACGGGAGGCAGCAGUGAGGAAUAUUGGUCAAUGGACGAGAGUCUGAACCAGCCAAGUCGCGUGAAGGAAGACGGUUCUAUGAAUUGUAAACUUCUUUUGUACAGGAAUAAAGUGGAUUACGUGUAAUCUUUUGUAUGUACUGUACGAAUAAGGAUCGGCUAACUCCGUG